UUUUUUUUUUCAAAGUCAUUUCUUAAAUUGCAACGAAAAUAAUAUCGUAAAGGAUAACUCAUGUGCUCCAUUUUUUACUUGAGUAAAACGGUUCCUCAGUAUGGUGUCACACCACUAAUUCAUUCAAUUAGCAUUUAGAACAUGUAAAUAAGAUUGAGAAAGGAAAUGGGGAAUGUGUCAAAGCGACAACAACCCGACCAUAGAGCAGACAACAGCCGAAGGCCACCAAUGGGUCUUCAAUGUAGCGAGAAAACCUACUCUGACAAAUAAAUGAAACUUCACUUAAGGUCAAGGAUCAGUAAAUGAACUAGUCCAUAGAUUUAAAAAAAAAAUAGAACUCAAUAAGAUAUUGAAAAUAUACAUCAGAAAAUGUACAAAAAGUAUAUGUCACCGAUGGUCCGAGAGGGUACUAAAUUACAUUGAAUAUAUAGGGGAAAUCUAUAUUUUUCUUCUACAAUUUUCGGUUUCCGGUAUAAAUCGCGUGAACCGCUCCAUAGAAAUUUUUUUUAAAUUCAUUUUUUCUUCCUCUUUGUCUGUCGAAUUAGAUGAUAUUAAAAAAAAUAUGGUUACCGAC
rnacentral:lncRNA from 1 species